rnacentral:rRNA from 1 species
AUUGAACGCUGGCGGCAUGCCUUACACAUGCAAGUCGAACGGUAACAGGUCUUCGGAUGCUGACGAGUGGCGAACGGGUGCGUAAUACAUCGGAACGUGCCCGAUCGUGGGGGAUAACGAGGCGAAAGCUUUGCUAAUACCGCAUACGAUCUACGGAUGAAAGCGGGGGAUCUUCGGACCUCGCGCGGACGGAGCGGCCGAUGGCAGAUUAGGUAGUUGGUGGGAUAAAAGCUUACCAAGCCGACGAUCUGUAGCUGGUCUGAGAGGAUGAUCAGCCACACUGGGACUGAGACACGGCCCAGACUCCUACGGGAGGCAGCAGUGUGGAAUUUUGGACAAUGGGCGAAAGCCUGAUCCAGCCAUGCCGCGUGCAGGAUGAAGGCCUUUGGGUUGUAAACUGCUUUUGUACGGAACGAAAAGCCUCUUUCUAAUAAAGAGGGGUCAUGACGGUACCGUAAGAAUAAGCACCGGCUAACUACGUG